rnacentral:rRNA from 1 species
AAUGAACGUUGGCGGCGUGGAUUAGGCAUGCAAGUCGUACGGGCCAGCAAUGGUCAGUGGCGAAAGGGAGAGGAAUACGCAGGUAUCUGCCUCCGGGUCGGGGAUAGCCACGGGAAACUGUGGGUAAUACCCGAUAACGUCUCCGGACCAAAGGUGUGAUUCCACCUGGAGAGGAGCCUGCGUCCUAUUAGCUUGUUGGCGGGGUAAUGGCCCACCAAGGCUACGAUGGGUACGGGGUGUGAGAGCAUGCCCCCGCUCACUGGGACUGAGACACUGCCCAGACACCUACGGGUGGCUGCAGUCGAGAAUCUUCCGCAAUGGGCGCAAGCCUGACGGAGCGACGCCGCGUGUGGGAUGAAGGCCUUCGGGUUGUAAACCACUGUCGUAGAGGAGGAAGGACCGGUGCAGAGCCGGUUUUGACCUAUUCUAGGAGGAAGGGUGGGCUAAGUUCGUGCCAGCCGCCGCGGUAACAC